ensembl:misc_RNA Metazoa_SRP Metazoan signal recognition particle RNA
GCUGGGCGUGGUGGCCUGCGCCUGUGAUCCCAGCUACUGGGAGGCUGAGGUGGGAGGAUCGCUUGAGCCCAGGAGGUCGAAGUUGCAGUGAGCUGUGAUCGUGCCACUACACUUCAGCCUGGGCAACAGAACGAGACCCUAUCUCAA